ACACUCCUACGGGAGGCAGCAGUGGGGAAUUUUGGACAAUGGGCGAAAGCCUGAUCCAGCAAUGCCGCGUGAGUGAAGAAGGCCUUCGGGUUGUAAAGCUCUUUUGUCAGGGAAGAAACGGUGAGAGCUAAUAUCUUUUGCUAAUGACGGUACCUGAAGAAUAAGCACCGGCUAACUACGUGCCAGCAGCCGCGGUAAUACGUAGGGUGCAAGCGUUAAUCGGAAUUACUGGGCGUAAAGCGUGCGCAGGCGGUUUUGUAAGUCUGAUGUGAAAUCCCCGGGCUCAACCUGGGAAUUGCAUUGGAGACUGCAAGGCUAGAAUCUGGCAGAGGGGGGUAGAAUUCCACGUGUAGCAGUGAAAUGCGUAGAUAUGUGGAGGAACACCGAUGGCGAAGGCAGCCCCCUGGGUCAAGAUUGACGCUCAUGCACGAAAGCGUGGGGAGCAAACAGGAUUAGAUACCCGUGUAGUCC
rnacentral:rRNA from 1 species